rnacentral:rRNA from 1 species
CCCUUAGAUGCUCUGGGCCGCACGCGCGCUACACUGGACGAUGCAACGAGUUUCUUUCCUUGGCCGACAGGCCUGGGCAAUCUUUGAACAUCGAUCGUGAUCGGGAUAGAUUCUUGUAAUUUUUGAUCUUAAACGAGGAAUUCCUAGUAAACGCAAGUCAUCAGCUUGCAUUGAUUACGUCCCUGCCCUUUGUACACACCGCCCGUCGCACCUACCGAUUGAAUGGUCCGGUGAAAUCUCCGGACUGGCGUGAGUCGGAGCAAUCUGACAAACGCCGGAAAGUUGAUUAAACCUUACCAUUUAGAGGAAGGUGAAGUCGUAACA